GAUGAACGCUGGCGGCGUGCCUAAUACAUGCAAGUCGAACGCUGGAAAUCUAGCUUGCUAGAUUGAAGGAGUGGCGAACGGGUGAGUAAUACAUAAGCAACCUACCCACGAAGACUGGGAUAAUCUCUGGAAACGGGGACUAAUACCGGAUAGGUAAUCGGAAGGCAUCUUCUGAUUAUUAAAGGUUAAAAACACUGGUGGAUGGGCUUAUGGCGCAUUAGUUAGUUGGUGAGGUAACGGCCCACCAAGACGAUGAUGCGUAGCCGGCCUGAGAGGGUGAACGGCCACAUUGGGACUGAGACACGGCCCAGACUCCUACGGGAGGCAGCAGUAGGGAAUUGUCGGCAAUGGGGGAAACCCUGACCGAGCAACGCCGCGUGAGUGAGGACGGCCUUCGGGUUGUAAAGCUCUGUUGUAAGGGAAGAACGGUAGAUAGAGAAUAUCUAAAUGACGGUACCUUACCAGAAAGCCACGGCUAACUACGUG
rnacentral:rRNA from 1 species